GAUGACAAUAUGAGCUGCAGCAAAAAGCUCGUAGAAGAAGACGUAUUUUUCUCCCACAGUUCUCUGCGGUAGUAAAGUGACCUCUGCUGCUAGCUGUUAGCGGUUAGCAUCCUUCAAAACAAUGGCUCCUCCAGUCGCAGUAUCGCCUUUAAUUAAGACAGCCAGGUAUUCAGCCUUGAUCGCUGGCAUCAUCUAUGGCAAAAAGAGAUAUGAUUACCUGAAGCCUAUUGCUGCUGAGGAGAGGAGGAUUGAGGAGGAGGAGAAAAAGGUCCGUGAGGAACAGGAGCGGAUUGCCAAGCAGCUAGCAGAAGCAAAUGAAGACACCAUUCUAAAGUAAACCUGCUUCGCUCUUUGAGGAUGACUACGUCCAUGUGCACUUUCCAACCCUCUCCCUCCUUUUUCUGGAGUAAUGACGACAAAGUUGGUCACACUCAAACCCUCCCAUGUUGUGGAUGGGAUUACUGUUCACCUUUAGUAAUGCAACAACUUUAUGGACCAUCGGAUACAAUGAUUUAAAUGUCUGUGGCAUUAUAGGAUGUUAGGUUCAAGCAUUGUAAGUGAUUAAGUACAUGUUCGUAAAGGAACAAUGAAAGAACAGCUGUAAUAUUGCCACAAUAAAUUGUUCUGGAUAAUAAAAA